GUCGCGCCCGGCUUCCAUGCCGGGCGAGGGUUGAAAC
rfam:Moorella thermoacetica ATCC 39073, complete genome.